CACGUAGGGGGCGAGCGUUGUCCGGAAUUACUGGGCGUAAAGGGCGCGCAGGCUGUUAUGCGAGUCUGCUGUGAAAUGUACCGGCUCAACCGGUGCCUUGCGGCGGAUACUGCAUAGCUGGAGUACUGGAGAGGGAAGUGGAAUUCCCGGUGUAGCGGUGAAAUGCGUAGAUAUUAGGAGGAACACCGGUGGCGAAGGCGGCUUACUGGACAGAGACUGACGCUGAGGCGCGAAAGCGUGGGGAGCAAACAGGAUUAGAUACCCCCGUA
rnacentral:rRNA from 1 species